GUUAGUGACUUUGUUGGUGAGGGUACACCUGUCCCCAUUCCGAACACAGUAGUUAAGCUCAUCUAUGCCUACAAUACUUGGCGGGAAGCUGCCCGGGAAGAUUGGUCGUCGCUAACA
rnacentral:rRNA from 1 species